rnacentral:rRNA from 1 species
AGAGUUUGAUCCUGGCUCAGGAUGAACGCUAGCUACAGGCUUAACACAUGCAAGUCGAGGGGCAGCAUGGUCUUAGCUUGCUAAGGCCGAUGGCGACCGGCGCACGGGUGAGUAACACGUAUCCAACCUGCCGUCUACUCUUGGACAGCCUUCUGAAAGGAAGAUUAAUACAAGAUGGCAUCAUGAGUCCGCAUGUUCACAUGAUUAAAGGUAUUCCGGUAGACGAUGGGGAUGCGUUCCAUUAGAUAGUAGGCGGGGUAACGGCCCACCUAGUCUUCGAUGGAUAGGGGUUCUGAGAGGAAGGUCCCCCACAUUGGAACUGAGACACGGUCCAAACUCCUACGGGAGGCAGCAGUGAGGAAUAUUGGUCAAUGGGCGAGAGCCUGAACCAGCCAAGUAGCGUGAAGGAUGACUGCCCUAUGGGUUGUAAACUUCUUUUAUAAAGGAAUAAAGUCGGGUAUGCAUACCCGUUUGCAUGUACUUUAUGAAUAAGGAUCGGCUAACUCCGUGCCAGCAGCCGCGGUAAUACGGAGGAUCCGAGCGUUAUCCGGAUUUAUUGGGUUUAAAGGGAGCGUAGAUGGAUGUUUAAGUCAGUUGUGAAAGUUUGCGGCUCAACCGUAAAAUUGCAGUUGAUACUGGAUAUCUUGAGUGCAGUUGAGGCAGGCGGAAUUCGUGGUGUAGCGGUGAAAUGCUUAGAUAUCACGAAGAACUCCGAUUGCGAAGGCAGCUCACUAGACUGUCACUGACACUGAUGCUCGAAAGUGUGGGUAUCAAACAGGAUUAGAUACCCUGGUAGUCCACACAGUAAACGAUGAAUACUCGCUGUUUGCGAUAUACAGUAAGCGGCCAAGCGAAAGCGUUAAGUAUUCCACCUGGGGAGUACGCCGGCAACGGUGAAACUCAAAGGAAUUGACGGGGGCCCGCACAAGCGGAGGAACAUGUGGUUUAAUUCGAUGAUACGCGAGGAACCUUACCCGGGCUUAAAUUGCAGAUGAAUUACGGUGAAAGCCGUAAGCCGCAAGGCAUCUGUGAAGGUGCUGCAUGGUUGUCGUCAGCUCGUGCCGUGAGGUGUCGGCUUAAGUGCCAUAACGAGCGCAACCCUUGUUGUCAGUUACUAACAGGUUCUGCUGAGGACUCUGACAAGACUGCCAUCGUAAGAUGUGAGGAAGGUGGGGAUGACGUCAAAUCAGCACGGCCCUUACGUCCGGGGCUACACACGUGUUACAAUGGGGGGUACAGAAGGCAGCUACACAGCGAUGUGAUGCUAAUCCCAAAAGCCUCUCUCAGUUCGGAUUGGAGUCUGCAACCCGACUCCAUGAAGCUGGAUUCGCUAGUAAUCGCGCAUCAGCCACGGCGCGGUGAAUACGUUCCCGGGCCUUGUACACACCGCCCGUCAAGCCAUGAAAGCCGGGGGUACCUGAAGUGCGUAACCGCGAGGAGCGCCCUAGGGUAAAACUGGUGACUGGGGCUAAGUCGUAACAAGGUAGCCGUACCGGAAGGUGCGGCUG